CGUACAUUAAGUAUUUCAUAUUGAUUUAAGGUUUUUGUCUCCUGAAAACAAGAGUGUGCAAGCCAAUAUUACAAAAGAAAUUCUCCAACAACCUGAGUGCUGUGAAAAGGAAGUGAAACUUGCAGUUAGACGAUGCUACGAGAAUAGUAGGCGUUUCUUUCUGGAGCAUCAAGCUGGUAAAGAAAAUGCUACAGAACAACAGGCCAAGAAAAGAAAGUACCUUUCACGGCGGUAAUUUUAAUGAAUGUUGCAUUAUUAUUGCCUCUUGUGCAGAAGUUUCAGAGACGAAGCAAUGUGGUAACAGCUAUUGAGAUGGACAAAUACUGGAAGUUUUUGAGCCUAGUAUAAUUAUUAUGAAGAAGACAACCCGAAUGGUAGCACAAGCACAAGCCUGAGUGUGUGUGUGUGUGUGUGUGUGUGCAUGUGUGCAUGUGUAUACAUGUAACUAGUUGCCCUUAAGUUCUCCUGGACGAGUUGGUCAAAGAAGCACACAAUAAGUAAUUGUAUUUUUGCAGAAUUAGAUGAGUUCAUCAGAACUCUUGAAACUCGCCUUGAGGAGAAGUUGCCACGAUCCCCUGGACUCGUCGCUAAAAAGGUGCGAACUUUUGGAAACCCUUCAACAGCUCCUGAGUAUAGUAGCACUCCAUCCUGACAACAUACAUGUAAGAUAGUACUGAAGAUUUGACGACAGCUAGCAGAUGGAUACAAUUCUCAGUUGACCGAUACUUUGGUGAAAAUAAUGUUUCCCAGGGCAUAGUAAAAUAAAGCUGGAGAGAACAAAAAUAUAGACUUUGAUUGCUAGCCCCACCUUAUUUAGCCCACCUUAUUUAGCCCCACCUUAUUUCACACAUACAGCUUUGCCAGACUGCUUCCUCUCAUAAUAGGGGAUAUAUUCUGGGAAAACUUUUAUUCUGGGAAAACUUUUUGCGUUUGCUGACGAUAGUUGACUAUUGCUUGGCAUCAUGUGGAGUUCAAAGCACUCUACUCUUCGUGUAAACUAUUAUCCAUGAUCCAUUAUCCAGAAAUAAUUUGCAAGUGUUCAUAUAUGUACAUGUGUACUUUAUUAGGCAUGGUCCGUUAGUGGUGUAUGCGCUUUGAAGGCUACCGGGCAAAGUGUGCUUCAAAAAUACCCAUCUACACAUUGUUUCACUAGAAAUACUUGUAAAGAAGAUGAAGCUGGACCAGGUGUGUUUAUUAUUUGUUGCUCACUCAGGGCUUCAUAGAGGGGGGGGGGCGCUCGCUACAAUUCCCCCCCCCUGGCAAUUGUAAAUUUUUGUAUGGGCCAGCCUGUGACACAUGAUAUUCAUAACAUUACUGAUUUGCCUCCCCCCCCCACAUGUUCUUUGUCUUCUUUGUCUGUCUUUGUCUUUGUCUGCUGUGGGAUCUUUGAACUACAAGGAUGAUCUUCUAGCUCGAAUAUUAAAAGGUUCUAAAUAAUGACAUACUUUCACUGCUGUACAAUUAACUAGACCUGUGUUAAACGAGCAUGCUGACUAUAAAAGGGGCGUGCCCUGGGCACUCGAGGCGGAAAUGAUUAAAUAUGGCCGCGUGCGGUAAACUCUCUGCUUCACUGCUCGCUUCAUGCACACAUGGUUUUACUUUGAUACGCCCCUUAUAGCCUGCAUGUAGCACCUUGGCUCACGAGAUACUUUGUUCCAAAAAAGAGCAAAAAAAAAUGGCUGAAAGAUGUGACAACUCUCGUUCUCUACCCAAGAAGCGUGCUAGGCAUGGUUUUCGGUACCAAAUGGAGCUGAAUUUCGAUACUGAAGAUGCAAAGCAGGCUUUUGUAGCUAGGAUAGAUAGGGCAAAGCUAGAGGCUCAUUUCUGUAUUGUUGGACAAGUUGGAGCAUUAUUUGGAGCAUUAUCAGAUUGUAACGAAGCGUCACCCUGUAAGCGUCCAGGGUACAAGCCCACGAAGAUAAAACUAGAGGAUCCUCUUGCAAUCGAGUCAUUCACGUCAGCACUAAAAGACACCCUUAUUUACAAGAAUGCCGAAUCAUUGUCGAGUGAGGUUUUUUUCUAAUUAUUAUAUAAACUUCUAUGAUGUUGUGUCGAGACACAUUCUGGGUGGAUACAUCUCAAAACGUGUACACUUCGUGGAAGCCACAUGAGAAUGAACCUUGCUAUUAUGGACUGGAACGAGAAUGUACGUAGAGAGUGUACAAGUGAACGACUGGUUCAGGGCAUGAGAAGACCGGAUUGUAGGACUCCCGUAAGAGUGCUGGUGGAAAAAUCGUUCAACUUUGCCAGAGAAAUAUGGCGAGCAGCAGAGAAAAGUUGACCUCAGUGAGUUUGUAGAGGACAUGCAACCUGAGCAAUCAGAUGAGCCAGUAGAUGAAAACGAGGACCUAGUAAGCGAUGGUGUACAUGUACUUGACGAAGGUCUUUAUGAAGACAUAAAGAAGUAGAAGACUGGAAGUCUGUGUAUGGAACUCCAUCUUGAUUCGGAAAUCGCUCACGCACCUCCUGGAAACGGUGCAGCGCUUCCAAUCAGCCAGCUGGGUGGUCUAGCUCUGACACACGGUGACAGGUGGCAGUACGGGCAGGGACCCUCUCCAUUCAAGACUGGAGGAUCAUCGUGAUCAUACCCUCUGGGACCUAAGGAAAGUACCACUCAUUUUAUUUAUAUGUACAGGUUAGUGACAUUCACCUUUCUUAGGCCUCGAAGGACCGGCUUCACCCCAACCGUUAUGGCGUGUAAUUUGAGUCAGUAUUGUGCCGGUAAUAUUGCCGCAGCAAAACAUUUUUACCGGGACAUUUGCCGCGGCAAUAUUUUUACCGGGACAAUUGCCGCGGCAAAACUGUUUGGCUCGGUAAAUACCGGGACGAUUGCCCCGGCAAAAAGCAAAAUUUUGUGGAUGGGUAAAAAGUUUACUGAGCCAUUUGCCGCGGCAAAAACAUAUACCGAGCCGUUUGCCGCGGCAAAAAUAUUUACCAGAGCUUGAAAAUCACUUGACUGUCACAAGUCCAUAAAAUUGGCCAGAGCAAAGCUAUAGAACUGGCAGAAAGUCCUAUACAUAGAGAUCAUGGAUUCACCUUUAGCAAGAGUGUCAGACAUCAUAUCUGAAAUAGAACAUCGUAUUGAAGAUAACAGCAUGUCUGUGACACACUUACGACGCUGCAUUGAACAUUUGCAAGCGGGAAGAAGUCAGGUGUUAAGAUUAUUUCGACAAACACGCAAUAGCAGUUUAUACGAAUUAAGUGUUUGCAUUGGAGACAUCUGUGAAUGUUUAGAGAAUUAUCCUACAGCUGCUACUGGCUUCCCUGGAAUAAAUCUUCCUCCUCGAGAGUAUACUGAGGACAACCGAGUUACUGUCUACCAUUGGAGCAGGUGAAAUUUCUUUUAAUGCUUCAAUUCCCAGUCAGACAGAUAAGCCAACUACUGGGUGUAUCUGAAUCAACGAUCAGACGAAGAAUGAGAGCCGAAGGAUUGUGUGUUCAAACGUUGUACUCUUCACUGUCCGAUUCACAAGUUGAUGAUUUGGUGAGAAAUAUUGUACAGAGGCACCCACAUGCUGGUUUUAGAAUGGUUGAAGCCUACCUGUUGGCCGAAGGAUAUAGGCUUACACAAACCCGUGUUAGGGCUUCUCUCGAACGAGUUGACCCCGCUGGAAUUGCAGUAAGGUGGAGUAGACACCGUUGUAUUCACAGACGUGUGUAUUAUGCCCCACACCCCAAUGCCUUGCCUUGUGGCACAUUGAUGCAUUGAUGGUAAUAUGUCACUCAUUAGGUGUGUCACUCAUUAGGUGGAAGUUAGUAAUCCACGAUGGCAUAGAUGGAUUUAGUAGACUUGUAACGUAUUUGCAGUGCUCCAAUAACACAGUGCUCCAAUAACAAUCGAGCGACAACUGUCCUGCAACAGUUUACUAAAGCUGCAAGUACAUAUGGGUGCCCCUCCAGAGUUCGUUCAGAUUGUGGUGGUGAAAACAUUGACGUAGCUCAAAUCAUGCUUUGUUUCCGAGGAGUUGGCCGUGGUAGUCAUAUUACUGGGCGAUCCACUAGAAACCAACGAAUAGAAAGGCUAUGGAGGGAUGUGUUUGAGAACAGCCUUCGUGUAUUCUAUGAUCUGUUCUAUGUGCUUGAAGACAGGGGUGUUCUUGACCCAGACAAUGAGUUGCAUAUUUUAGCACUUCACUUUAUCUUUGUACCCAGAAUUCGAAGGUCUCUAGAGGCAUUCCGAAAUGCAUGGAAUUCUCACGGGUUGAGCUCAGCUCAGCACUCCUCUCCCCUACAACUCUGGACAACUGGUGAACAGAUCCUUGCUAGAGCCGUGGAUGAAGUUUUCCACUAUCAAGACAGAGAUGGAACGAACUCUCAGUCUGAGGACGAUAGUGACGAGGCAGACAACGAGUCUGAGGACGAUAGUGACAAGUCAGACACGUCUGACGUGUCUGAGAAUGACAUUGAAACAAUAUUAACACAGGCAAUAAACCCACUACAAGUGAGCGAUGUGCAAGGGGUGGAUCUGUAUGCUGAAGCCCUUCGUAUAGUUCUAGCACACUACACGCAGUGACUACAAUCCAGUGAACUAAUAACAACCUUGAAUCAUUGCAUGUGAUGUGAAUAAUGUCUUUUGUCUUUGUCUG